rnacentral:lncRNA from 1 species
AAAUACUCACCAAAUUAUUCUACUCUACUAAUAUCGAACAUUAAGCUAUUGGGAUCAUUGGGGCUUUGUGGCCUUCAAUUGUUAGGCUCUUUGGUUCGAGGUAGGAAAUAAGGGUAUAUGUGGCUAUUCUUCUUGAAUUGAGGUGAUUACGCCAAAAUUUGAAAGAUAGGCGUUUUGAACAAUGAAUUCACCUCUAAGGACUUUAAUAAACUCGAUUCUUAAGGGUUCAAAAGUUUCCACUUUUGCUCUUAAGACAAUGGAUCGAGCUUUCAAAAUAAUUCAACAACUAGUCCUUAUUUCUCCCUUCUAGUCUUUUCUUCUUCUCCUUUUUUUUUUUUGAUAUAUAUAUAUAUAUAUAUAUAUAUAUAUAUAUAUAUAUAAGCAUAUAUAUUUGUCUUAUUUUCGUUUUUUUUUUUGAAGAAGAAGGACCUUAUAAAAUUUUUCGACCGAACUCUAAGGAGUAAUUUUUCAAGAAUCUCCACCUAUUCUACCUUACACAUUGGCUAAAAGAAAGAACACCUUUUCUCCGAGGCUCAAAUCAAGGUUCUAAGGAUAAUUUCGAUAAAAAGGUCGGCUUGAAAGGCUCAAACGGUUUAAAAAAAGCCCAAAUCAUAUCCCAAAUCACUCACUACUCAAUACUUCGUAUCAUAAAUUUUCUAAGGUGAGUUCUAAAACCGAACAUAGCAUGAUCUGUAACAAAUUAAUUCCAAACUUAAAAUACAAAACAUUCAACCAAAGCAAUGCACAAAGUGUGAUUCCUAGCAAUAAUUCACUUCUAAGAAAUUAGGGUUAGGAGUAAUUACAACUAGAUCUCCUUUUAUUUGAAAAAUUGCGUACCACUUGAUAAGUGUUCGUUUUGCACGAUUUUUGCUUAUCAAUUCUUCGAGUUUUGGUCUUCGUUCGUUCGAGUUUUCGGCUUUAUUUGUAUAUAUUAUGUUGUUUUUGUUUUAUUUAUAUUUUAGGUAAAGAGAAGCUAUUUUUGCCGAUUCGAAACGAUUUUGGAAGCGAAGCCGAAAAUCAAACCAAACACAUGCAAAAGUGCAUUAUCGAGGGUGUGGCACUGUUUCAUAUUUCAAGCAUAACUUUUGCAUACAACCUCCGAUUGAGCUGAUUCAAAUGGCCUUAGAAAGCUCACUUCAAGAUCUACAACUUUUGUGAAAUGCAAAAUUGUCAAAUUCGGGCUACAAAAGGGUCAAAACAGUGUUUGAAGUUGGCGCAGAAGCCUAGAUUGCGAUCCAGCCUUCCUAGAUCGCGAUCUGGGGGUCUUACAGAGAGCAAAUUGGGGUCCGAUCCAGAUCGCGAUCCAGCCUUCCUGGAUCGCGAUCUGGGGGGUCUUACAGAGAGAAAAUUAGGGUCAGAUCCAGAUCGCGAUCCAGCCUUCCUGGAUCGCGAUCUGGGGGGUCUCACAGUACAUUUUUUGAUCAAGAACCAGAUCUGUUAGAGUAGGUGACCAACAAGCCAACAUGUGGCUGUGGUCUUUCGUAUUUAUUAUUGUAAUAAACGAACCUUUAUUCGUAUUAAUGAUAAAAUACAUUGGCAUUCUAUAUCUUUGUCCCUUUGUCACAAGCAUAGAUAUAGUCCUUACAGUUAUUACAAGUACUAGUAAUUGAUCUUUAGGAUCGUGAGAUAUUUACUUAAGUAUUAUAACUGUUAAACGUGUUCCUAGUGUUGGUCGAAAACCUACACGCAAGUGCACGUAUCGUACAAGUAAUAUAGUGGACAAUUAAGUCCGGAUAUCGAACCCACAGGGAAUAUUUAAUUAUCUAAUCCUAGACGCUAAAUUCUACCAAUUAUUAUCAAGCCCACCCUACACAGUCGAAUAAGGAUUAAUAAACUAAAUUAAACUAAACUAAAGCAAUUAAAUAGAUAAAAAUAAGAAAGCAAUUUAAAUACGAAGAUUAAUCAAAGUAGACAAGCCUAGGAUUUUAUUCUUCCCCCUAUGUGAUUAUUAUUCCCCCAAUUCCUUCAAUUAUGCAAGCAAUUAACCCGGAUUAUUAAUCUGAGAUGCUAAAAUAAUCAUAACCCGCUUCCGCGUGUAUUACGAUUCUAAUACUCUAGAUUCAAUUACUAUAUUCCUAUGCAAUUAAUUCUAGAACACAGCAUUAAGCACAAAUCUCAAUAAUGGCUACCUAAGAGAUUAACUAUAUUCCUAUGUUAAUACCACAAAGGCUCUUCUACCACAGUUCUAAUUAUUAACCCGAUCUUCCGAUUCAUGCGAUUAACAAUAACAUAAAAGCGCAUAAAGUGGCCAGUUUCAUGAACUUAAUAAAACAAGUAGAAGAAAUAAUUCGGAAUUAAAACUUGCAUAAAAUCAUAGAAUUGGGUUCAUAAAUCCCACAUAGGGUUCCAAAUAAAAUCCUAGAAAUAAGAAAAUUAGCUACUCAUGAUUAAAGGAAAAACACAAAUAAAAUAAGUCAUAAACGAUAAAUCUAUGCUUAGAGUCUUCGAAUUCUUCGUCUUCGUUAUUGCUUUGUUGCUCUCCAAAUUGCGUAAAAAGAUCCCUAAUUGUGUGCUUGGAUUGGUCUUACAUAGGGUGAAGAACUUGGGGAAGAAGGCAGAGUUUCCUUGUGCAAUUAAAAUCCCUUUACUGCGCAACUUCGGGGUAUGGGACGGGGGUCCCAUAAUUUGCACUAAAACUGGGACGGGGGUCCGAGCCUUGUUUCUUCAGAAUUUUGAUAUUUUCACUUUUGACCCAUAUUUUCGCCAAAAUUGCAGUUUUGACCCCAUACUUUUCCAAUUCUUCAAUUUGUACCUAAAAUACAAUAAAUCAACUUUUUAAGCACCAAUUAUCAUUAAAACACACCAAAAGCCCAAAUAAAAAGGUACGAUAAAGUGUAAAAAUAUACACUUAACACACCCCCAAACUUCAACUUUUGCUUGUCCUCAAGCAAAAUCUACCAAUAAGCAAAUAACUCAACUAUAACAUCUCAUCACAUAAAUCAAUGAUCAACUUCACGUUUUCAGAACUUGUAAUUAUAAUGACAAUUCUUAGGCAUUCGCAAGCUCAAAAUUCAACAACACUUAGUCACUCACCAUUACAAAAAACCACAAUUCAUACAAUUGCUUCAAGCAUCCAAUAUUUGCAAAUUAAAGAUAGAAAGAAUUUAUACUUACAUGCAUAUGCUUGACUCCAAAUACUCACCAAAUUAUUCUACUCUACUAAUAUCGAACAUUAAGCUAUUGGGAUCAUUGGGGCUUUGUGGCUUUCAAUUGUUAGGCUCUUUGGUUCGAGGUAGGAAAUAUGGGUAUAUGUGGCUAUUCUUCUUGAAUUUAGGUGAUUACGCCAAAAUUUGAAAGAUAGGCGUUUGAAACAAUGAAUUCACCUCUACGGACUUUAGUAAACUCGAUUCUCAAAAGUUCAAAAGUCUCCACUUUUGCUUUUGAGGCAAUGGAUCGAGUUUU